AAUAAAGCUCACUGAGAUCUGUGUCGUACAGUUUUAAUAAAAUCCUCUAUUAAUUUAGAAUUUUAACAUAUCUAUCUGAAAGUGAUGGACAUUGGGCUUUCAUUUACCCCGUCAGACCUAUACCACCUUACGUUUAGAACUGGUAAAAACUCACAUUUAUAACCUGAAAUUGUUCUAGCUAUUAGUAUUAUAAUAUAUAGUGAAUGCAUUUAUAUAUUUAAUCAUAUUUAAUAUAAAUUUCUUUUAAAAAUAGUUGAAUUGGCCAUGUCAGAGACCACUGACCACAUAAUUCAGAGGUUUCACUUCGGUGGACAAAAUUUAACGCAUACCGGGAAAUACUCAUAUCAAUACCGACAUUUUUGUGAUUAUGUUUUCAAGAUAGAUAACUCUUGUGUGAAUACUGAAACAGCUGCUUUCGCUCCCUACAACAACAUCAGACCCGGCGGUGUACAUGCUAUCAGGUAUACUACCCGUCGAAGCGCAAAUUGACAAAAGAGCACUUGGAUUAUUUAAUAACAUCUGUAACCAAGACGAAAGCAGCACGGAAAAACAACUGGCACGCAGGCAAAUUGAGGUCAAAUCCUUGGAAAGCAACAGCUGGUUUAUAGAAAUCAAAAAGAUCCUAACAAAAUAUAACAUGGAUGAAAUCAACAACUAUCUUGAUAUACCUAUGAAGAAAGAAAAAUGGACCCCACUAAUAAACCGAACUAUCCAAAAACACUGGAAUGACUCAAUAACAACAAUGGUUCCAUAUUACAAAGGCCUGUUGUAUUGUUAUAUGUAUAACCGACUUUAAAUAAAUAUUUUAUGCUAUGCUUUAUGCCUACAGCAUCUAAAUUACAUGGAAUUUUACCAAGGGAAGCUACACCCCCUGCUAAAAAUCAAAUGCCAAUCAGCUAGAGACAUAGGAAGAAUUCCUCCAAAACUUAAAAUGCUAACUGGCACAUACAUUCUGCAAUCACAUAGAAUCAAAAUGUACCAAAAUGAAAUAGAUCCGAUGUGUCUUAUAUGCCACCAAGGAGACGAAACACUUGAACAUUUCAUCCUAGAAUGUGAAGGCCUAUCCAACAUCAGGAAUCCAAUUGCGGAUGAAAUAAAUGCAAUUCUGAAGAGUUCAAUUUACACAGAAUUUCAUGAGCAAACAUCAAAAAUAAAGAUGCAAAUUCUCAAUGCUCUGGAAAAAUCUGAAACUGGACAGUGAAUUAAUAGCCAAAAUUGAAUAUUGUAGCCGCCGCCUUCUUUUUUUGCUACACACCACCAGAUAAAAUUUCCUCUCAAAAGGAUUGAAAAAGGACAAGAAUAACGUAAAGGUGUAAUAACCAUACAACUAUAAUACCUAUAACAGAACACUGUGUAUAUAUAUAUAACUGUAUAUUCAAAAUUCAUUGGUAAUGGACUACAAACUGCACUGUAUAUAAAGCACCCAGGUGAAGGAUAUUUAUAGUUCAACAUACUGGUGCCUACGAAGACACUGGUGUGGUUCUCCUAUACAGGAGGUCAAAGAUACAGAGGUGAAGGUGAUCAGAUAAUCUUUGCGAAUAAUCAGGGGAAUCUAAAUGUUGUUUUUGUUGGAACCCCUGAAUCAUGACUACAUAUUGUCAAAAUCCAACAUUGGCGUGACAAGAAAAAGUGGAACCCUACAUACAAAUGUUCAAAUACCAUCAGAGAUAAUUUGGAAUUCUGAUAAGCCAGCACUUUCAAAAGAUAGCUCGUCAUGCAACAUUUACCUGCUUCUGCCUGAUAAUGGCCACAAUCAACGAGCUGAUUAUUAUGCCAUGAAACUUCUUAGAUGAUAUCCCAAAGAUAGUUUAUGAUUAAAUUUUGACAUUUUACACAUGGACGGGGCAUAAAUGUCAUUUUAUGUAGCACCUAUAGAUACAACUUGAUUAUCAUUGGGAAAAAUGUUCUGUUCCAGUUCUAUUGAUAAAUAAGACUACAAUUUGUUUUGAUUUCAAAUAUUCUUUACAACAACUAUAUGUACAAAUUUGGGUUGGCUAAAGACAUGAAAGAGGGUUUCAGUUUCAUUACACAUGAGCAGAUGAGACUUUUAAGGCUUGAAAGAUUCUACAGAAUUAAAAAAAAAUAAUCAGAUGCAAGUCAACACAAUAUUAUAUACUACAAGAUGCAUUUAGUUAUAGACUGCACAACAUAUCACUUCAUACAGUAGGAAGAAAAGACUAGUUUACCGGUAACCACCAACUAUGGAGAGAGGAAGACAAGAAAUGUUUUCUAUCAAUUAAGAUUUAUUCCAAAGGAGAAGAAAGGCAAUUGAACAAAAAUCCCUGUGCAGUUUUGAACAAAUGUUACUAAUUUUAACAAAUAAGUGUAUGUGAGCUUUGAAACUAACCAUUGCCAGAAAUAUAAAGCCACAUUGUAAAUGUAUAUCUCUUCCGAUUACACACAUAUAAAGUUCACAAUUUGGACAGAGGAAUCGGAAAAAAAAGCCUCCCUAGAAUGAAUUGCACAUUCAUUGUGUAUUUACCAGAUUUGUAGACCUUAUUAGAAUGUACCUGUACACACUUAUUUAUGGAUGAAUAUUUGACAACCACAGAAAAUAAAGAAAAAUCAAGUUGGACUGGCAUCAUGCAUUCACGGUUCAGCCUAAAUUCCAAAACAAUGGUUUAUUUGUUAAACAUGAUUUAUGAAAGGUUUAAAGACAUUCUGGAUUUAUGAAAUGGACACCAUGACACAGCUGUAUUCAGAAACUCCAAAGUAAGAACAUCACACAAGAAUAUUGAAAAAAAUCAGACUAUGGAUUACACUAUAUUAAGGCAAUAUACCUUAUGAUCCUCCAGAUGAAGAACAAAGAUUAACAACCAAAUUGAAACAUAUUGGUGUUUAACAUGUAUGCCAAUUACAAUGAAUUAACACAAUCUGACAAUGAUAUUUCCAUGUCAUCGUGACAUGAACAUUUCCAAAGGGGCACUAGCCAUGAACAUAAAGUUGACAAGAAAUGAAAUACAAUUUUGUUUAGACAUUUACAUUUAUUUAACCUAAAUUAUGAAAUGUGUGAAUGAAUAUUUCAAGGAAGAUAAUUGAAUUUUACCUAGUUUACAUUGCAAUACAUGUAUUUGGCAACAGAAAUGUCUCAUGACAGUUGUAAAAUAAGUACCCCACAAAUAUUUUACAGGAGUUUUGUCCCCUUGAAAAUGUUUGCUAAAAAUAUUGAAAUUUGCAAUGCAUAAAUAUAUGUAAAUGCUAUCACUUCUACAUUUAUCAACAGAAUUUCUGAAAAGUGUUGAAAAUGCUCUUUUAUUUUUGUUUGAAUUAUGCCUGUAGGAAAUUUUGAUUUAUGAUAAAAAUUUAAUUUCAAGAGCACACGCCACCCUCUUUCUUUAAGAAUUGUUAUUAAAUUUCUUUUAUCUUAGCAAUGACAAAUUGAAUAUGUGCAAACAUUGGAAUGUCAGGGGUUUUUUUGUGUUUUUAUUUCAUAAUGAUGUCAUUUUUAGCUCACCUUUCCUAAAAGGAAAUGUGAGCUUUUGCCAUCACUUGGCAUCCAUCGUCGUAGUCCGUCCUCGUCGUAAAUUAUUUAAAAGAUCUUAUUCUCUGAAACUACUGACCCAAUUCCAACUAAACUUAAGCUGAAUGAUCCUUAGGGUAUCUAGAAUAAAGUUUGUAUUUUAUUUUCUAUUUCGUCCAAAAACAUGCCACCAUGGCUAAAAAUAGAGCAUAGGGGUAAAAUGCAGUUUUUGGCUUAUAUCUCAAAAACUAAAGCAUUUAGAGCAAAUCUGACAUGGGGUGAAUAUGUUAAUCAGGUCAGAUCUAUCAGCCCUGAAAUUUUCAGAUGAAUUGAACAACCCAUUGUUGGGUUGCUGCCACUUAAUUGGUAAUUUACGGAAAUUUUGCAGUUUUUUAUCAUUAUCUUGAAUAUUAUUCUAGAUAAAGAGAAACUAUAAACAGCAAAAAUGUUCAGCAAAGUAAGAUCUACUAAUAUGUCAAGAUACCAAAAUUGUCAACUGACCUUUUAAGGAGUUAUUGCCCUUUAAAGAUAUUUAAUUAUAACUUAAUUUCUUUUACUUGUUAGCUUACUUUAAAAAAUCUUCUCCUUUGAAACUGCUGAAUAAAUUUCAGCCAAACUCAGGCUGAAUGAGUUUCAGAGUAUCUAGUAUAAAUUUUAUAUUUAUUUCCUUUUACGUCAAGAAGCAUAGCCUGUAUGGUUAAAAAAAACAUAGGGGUAAAAUGCAUUUUUUUGCUUUUGAAGAAGAUAUGAUCAGAUUCAAGAAUAGAUAUAUAAAUUGAAAAGCCAAAAUAAUCAUUGAUCAUUGAUUUAAGCAAAUAAUUUAAGGUGAAUGAUUCAGGCUCUUGAGAGCCUCUUGUUUUUAAUAUUCUAUUUCUUUACACUUGUAAAUUUUUAUACCCAAAAAAUAUUUAUAUUUAUAGGUCACACUGUGUAUACAUUGUAUAUUAUAGAAGUGUUUAGCAGUGUUCUCCCCACCAAUUUCAAAUAGCAUCCUGUGAAACAGACAGAUUUAAAAUACCAUCAUGUUUCUCAAAAUAAUAGCAUCACAUCCAUAACGCAAUCUAUACAAAAAUAAUUUCAGAGAGCAUCACAUUCAAACAAUAUAGCAUCACAUUGGCAUGAUGCUACAAAGGCCCUGGGGAGAACACUGUUUAGUAAUAAAACUGUAUGGACAUGUAAAUUUAUCUUGAAAGUGUCAGAUUGAAUUCUCUUGUUUUAUUUUCUCAUGAUGUAAACAAUGCUCAUGAUAAUAUAUAUAAAUCAGUUAAACCUAGCCAUUCCACAGUUUAAAGAUCAAUAAACUUGCACACAAGAUAUUUUAUAUUUCUUCAAUUAUCCAGAUAUUGGUAUUUAUUCAGAAACUCUGAUAUGUUUUUUGGUAACAAUUAACUUUUACUGGUAGGGGACUAUGUAUUGCCAUGCAAUACUCUCAGCAUGCUGUAUACUUUACAUAAUGGUCUGUGUCUACGCUUGCUUUUCUUUGCAUGAAGCUAUUAAAGUUACAACAAAAUACCUUAUAGUAUAUAUAAAAAGAAGAUUUGGUGUAAUUGCAAUUAGACAACUCUAAACAAGAGACCAAAUUAAAUGACACAGAAAUUAACAACCAUAGGUCACCAUACGGCCUUCAACAAUGAGCAAAGCCCAUACCGCAUAGUCAGCUAUAAAAGGCCCCGAAAUAACAAAUGCAAAACAAUUCAAAUGAGAAAACUAACGGCCAAAUUUAUGUACAAAUAAAAGAACGAAAAACAAAUAUGUAACACAGCAACAAACGACAACCACUGAAUUACAGGCUCCUGACUUGGGACAGGCACAUAUAUAUAUAAUGAGGCGGGGUUAAACCAGUUAGCGGGAUCCCAACCCUCCCCCUAAUAUAGGUAAACUAAUAGCAUAGUAACAAGUUUAAAUAAGAUUUUAAGUUUACUUACAUGAUACUACUGUCUAUUGAAAAAGCAUAACCGAUACGUGAAUUGCAUUUACAUGAUAUAUAUAGAAACCCUUAGUUUGUCAACUUUUUGCUUUAUAAAUGUUUUUUGCAGAAACUAGAAUAUAUUUUAUCAAGGUAAACUAAAAACAAGCAAGCAGAUUUAACAAUUUUAGACGAUACAAACUUUAUCAUCAAUUAGCUUGUGUAGAUGUCUUUGUAAUACCAAAUGAAAUAAUAAAAUAAUAUCAGAAAUUUUUUUCGAACAUUAAAGUCUAGAAAUUAGUUUUGCUAUCUUAAAAUUAAACAUUUCCAGUAAGCUUACCUAUUUGUCUAUUUUUGUAAUUUUUAUGUUUGUUUGCAAAUUCAUGUAUGUUUUAAUCAUCACAAUGUAUUAUUACAGAAAAUAUUUACCAUCUACUGUGUUGUUAUCUUAUUUUAAAAUAUGAUGGGUAAUUAUCAUGUUGCAAUGCUUGUUUCAGCAUACAUUUUAUCAUAAACUUAUGCGAUAAACCAUAAGCAAAGUCUCAGUUAACUGUGAUUUACUGAAAAAAAUCUUGAAAGUAUAUUAAAAAUAAAUUUCAAGAUGAUCGCUUUAAAAUAA